CGUCUCAACUCUCCUGGUGGAGAGCCCGCAUAUUAUAUAUUCAUAGGAUGGGGCUUAUCCCAUAAAUGCAUACACUUGAUUGUUACAAUUGUGCGUAGCACGUUGAGAGUAAGAGAGAUACACGGAGGUUUACAAGAGAGUUAAAGAAGAGAGUUACAGGCAUCAACUUCUAAUAAACCAUGUACGUUUAAUCUUGAUCUUUAACUAGACAUCCAUAACAUCCGCCAUAAGAUAUCCAUAACAGCCGCCAUAAUAUAUCUUUAACACCCUCCCUUAAUCUGAACUUCCCAAGUUAAGAUUACGCUUGAAUUCCUCAAACGGUCGUGUGGCCAAUGCUUUUGUAAAACCAUCUGCAACUUGAUCCUUUGAAUGAACAAACCGAAUCUGCAACUCCUUAUUAGCAACUCUUUCCCUCACAAAAUGAUAGUCAAUCUCUAUGUGUUUGGUUCUUGCAUGAAAGAUAGGAUUAGCAGAUAGUUAUGUAGCACCAAGAUUGUCAUACCAAAGACAUGGGGUUGGUGUGUGACAUGCCAAGUUCCUUAAGCAUGGACAUGACCCAUAUAAUCUCUGCUGUUGCAUUUGCCAAUGCUUUGUAUUCUGCCUCAUUACUUGACCUGGAAACUGUGGCUUGUUUCUUUGCACACCAUGAGAUCAAAUUAGGUCCAAAGAAGACUGCAGAACCACCUGUUGAUCUUCUAUCAUCUAUGCAACCUGCCCAGUCAGAGUCAGAAAAUGCACUAACAAGUGUGGAUGAUGACUUGCUAAAGAAACUGACAAACCUUAUUGACAUCAAAGGAAAUAUCAGGCCUGGUCAGAGUUAAAUACUGAAGUGCACCCACCAAACUUCUAUACUUAGUACCAUCCUCUUGACUCAGGAGUUCUCCUUCAGCAAGAGAGUUUUUCUGAAAUGGACAAUGGUGUUGGUGAUGGUUUACAGCCCUGCAAUCCAGCUCUAUUCAAAAGAUCAGUUGCAUAUUUUUCUUGGGAAAGAUGAAGACCACCUUCCUUGUUUUUAUUGACUUCAAUUCCAAGGAAGUAAUGCAGGUCACCUAGAUCCUUGAGGGCAAAUUCUGAAUUCAAAUCCUUUAACAAUGCAGUUACUGCCUCAUUUGAUGAGCUUGUGACAAUGAUAUCAUCAACAUAUAUAAGCACAAAUAUGGAUGUUUUGAACUUGUUGUAAAUAAAUAGUGAUGUGUCGGAUUUAGAAGGAACAAAACCAAGUGUUUGCAACUUUGAACUCAGACGUGAGUACCAUGCUCUAGGGGCUUGCUUCAACCCAUAAAGAGAUUUAUCAAGCCUGCACACAUGAAAAGGUUUAUUCUUAUCUUCAAACCCCGGAGGUUGUUUCAUGUACACUUCCUCUUCCAGAACACCAUGAAGAAACGCAUUCUGCACAUCUAGCUGUCGGAGACUCCAGCCUCUGGAUACGGCAAUAGACAAAACAAGACGGAUACUGGCAGCCUUAACAACAGGACUGGAUGAAUGUAUCCUCAUAAUCUAUGCGAUACCUCUGUUUGAAUCCUUUAGCAACAAGUCUAGCCUUGUAACGAUCUAUUGUACCAUCUGACUUUCUCUUUAUCCUGAACACCCAUUUGCAGUCAAUUAAAUUUUUACCUCGAUGUGAAGGAACUAGGUGCCAUGUCUUGUUUUUUCCGAAGUGCUUGGAACUCUUCCUCCAUAGCUUUUCUCCACUUGGGAUCCACACUUGCUUCUUGAAAAGUACUAGGUUCUCCUGUUGAACACGCCAAGCUAAAUUUAACUUUAUAAUUUACAGGUUGAAUUACCCCUGUUCGAAGUCUUGUACGUGGUGGUGUACUAUGUUGCUGGACUGUUGUAGAUGAUCCAGGCGCAGGAAAUACCAUAGACUGCUCCUGGACAGAGGAUCCAGGCAAUCCCGAGGUUGCUGCUGUGACAUGUGCCGCUGCCGGAUCUUCUAUGGCCAUAUUGUUGGAUAAGUCUGUGUACUAGGGUCGUUGUGGGGCUGCAGCACAUGGUCCUUGUGGGGCUGCAGCACAUGGUCCUUGUGGCAGUUAGGAUAGAGUUCCUGACCAUCAAGGACUGGCAGUUAGGAUAGCAUCUUAGACUGGCGGCAUCUUAGUAGCAUCUCAGCAUAUGCUUGGCUGGCUAGCAGCCUAUAAGUAUGUAACCCCAACCCCUCAGGUUGGAAUGGCAUUGUGUGAGAAAUAAACCAACGAAAAUUGUCCCAACUCUCCUAGUGUCAUCCACAACUAUCAAUGCUCAGGCUCAAAGGUCUAACACAUAUAUGUGGGCGAAGCUUCAGUGGAUGGUGCAGAAAACCCAGGCAAGCCAGCUGAAUCAGGCUGGGAUCCCGCGCCUGCAUCGGGCUGGCGCACCGUCCGCCUGACGUAGACUUGGGUCCGGACCAAACCGCGUGGUCGGCCAGUCCUGCAAGCGUGGAUGACGGCCCCCCAGGUGAGGACGUGGCAGGUGGGGGUUGGCGAGCAGCAGCUCCUGGCGUGGAUUCUGUGCUGUAGCGCUCCGAUCCUGGAGCGGAUCGCGCCUGUGCUGACACCGCCGUUACCGAAAAAGGCUUUCGCCCCACUUUAUAUUAUAAAGCAACUGCCCAAGCCAACAUCCGAUAAGGUUCACACACACACACACAUAAAGUCUCACAAAUACAAAAGUCUCACACAGAGGGAAAUCCAAGGGUUAGUGCUGAGGGCACAACUCAACAAGCCCUGAAAACCAGAAAAAACAAGCACACGCGGAGCGCAAAAGAGUAGCUAGUCGGGCUCGGGGGGUGGGAGCGGGGGCGCCAAGCGGAACGCCAUCGAUCGGUGGUCGGCGAGGAGAGUGUUGAUGGCGUCCCGGUCCUGGGGGCGGCUAAGCGGCCGCCAAAGCUGCAAGUAACCACACAUUUUAAAGAUUGCGUCAGUAGCACGUCGAAGAAGCACCUUCUGGAUGACAAGCUUGUUGCGAACGGUCCAAAGCGUCCAGGCAAGGACCCCAACGCACAACCAUCUAAUAUGGCGGUAGCGGGGAGGGGAUGCGCGGAUUUCCGCAGCAGGUCGGGGAAGUUGGUGUUGCACCACUGGCCACCGACAGUCUCACGGAAACAGGAUCAAACAAACUGGGCCGUGGAGCAAGAGAAGAUGUGGUUAGCAUCCUCUACCGUGCCGCACAGGGGACAAAUCCCAUCUCCAGGUCCAUUACGCUUAAGGACCUCCACCCCGGACGGGAGGCGGCCGCGGAUCCAUUGCCAUAGGAAGAUCCUGAUUUUCAGGGGCAAUCGGAUAUCCCAAAUCAAACUAAAGGGCUCGGGGGCCGUCGAGGGGGCGAUGGCCGCGUAGAGAGAUUUGGUGGAGAAGCAGCCGGAGGGCUCCAGUCGCCAAGAGAUGGCAUCGGGGGUGUCGACGCCGUUCAUCGGGAGGAGGGCGAUGUCCUGGAGGAGGGCAUCCCAAGCGGCCACUUCAGGCGGGCCAAAGCGGCGGCGGAAGGCGAGGCGCCCUAAGUCAUAAGGGCCGCCUCGAUAGAUACCCGAGGGUCCACUGCAAAGGUGAAGAGCUCUGGAAAUCGCGCGGCCAGGGGGAGGUCGCCGAUCCACCGAUCAAACCAGAACAGGGUCGAGGACCCAGUACCAACCGAGAUGGACGUGCCAAUGCGGAGCACAGGUAGCAGCUGGAUGACGGCCUGCCAAAACUGGGAGCCACCAGAGCGCUGACAGAAUGCGAGUGGCUGGCCCCGAAGGUACUUGUUCCGGAUGAUGGUGAGCCAAAGGUCUCCAUCACCAUUGGCAAUGCGCGAGAGCCAACGGGUCAGGAGGGCAAUGUUCAUGCGCCGGGAGGACAAAAAUCCCAAGAUCGCCCUGGUCCUUGGGUUUGCAAAUAUCGGGCCAGCUCACCAUAUGGUAUUUCUGCUUAUCACCCUCACCAGCCUAGAAGAAUCUGGAUUGGUACUUGGCUAUUUCCUGAUGGAGCGUCUCAUGCAGGCUAUAGAAGCUCAUGAGGAACCAAAGAAGGCUGGCAAGUGAGGAGUUGAUGAGGAUCACACGAGCUGCCUUCGACAACCAGCGCCCUUUCCAGGGCUCAACCCGAUGUUGCAUUCAGGUCGCCGUGGGGCGGAGGUCGGCCACGGUGAGGCGUGUAUCACUAAUGGGGAUCCCCAGGUAGGUCGUGGGGAAAGAACCCAACCGACAAUUCAGUCGGUCCGCAAUAGCCUGUGCUUCGUCCGGGGAAUACCCAAGAACCAUCACUUCGCUCUUAUCGAAGUUGAUAGUUAGCCUCGACAUCUGUUGGAAGCACAGGAGGAGGAACUUCAGGUUAGCAAUGUCCUGAACUGAGCCCUCCACCAUUAUAAUGGUAUCAUCCGCAUAUUGCAGGGGGGAGACCCCUCCCCCUCCGACUAGAUGGGGGACGAUGCCGCGAAUAUGGCCGGCAACUUUGGCCUUGUCAAGGAUGGUGGCAAGGGCAUCAACCACCAUGUUGAACAGGAACGGCGAGAACGGGUCACCCUGACGGACCCCACAAAGGGUGGGGAAGUAGGGCCCAAUGUCGCCGUUAAUGUUCACAGCUGUCCGGCCGCAGGAGAUGAGCUGCAUAACUCUAGUCACCCACCGGUCGUCAAAGCCCUUGCGGAGCAGCACUUCCUGCAAGAAGGGCCAGUGGACCGUGUCGUACGCUUUGUGGAAGUCAAGCUUCAAGAAGACUGCACGAUGGUGUUUCACCCGGACCUCGUGAAGGACUUCGUGGAAGACCAACACCCCAUCCAGAAUAAAUCGGCCUUGGAUGAAGGCAGAUUGGUUAGGGUGGGUAACCGCGUCAGCGAGCAGGGUCACCCUAUUGGCGUACCCUUUAGCCAGGAUCCGGAAAAUCACAUUGAUCAUUGUGAUGGGACGAAACUGGCGGAUGUCGGAGGCGCCCGGGACCUUGGGGAUGAGGGUAACGAUCCCAUAGUUAAGGCGCCCAAGAUCCAUGGACCCCGAGUAGAACUCCUCAAAUAGGGCCAUGACCUCCGGCUUGAUGGUCUGCCAGAACGUUUUAAAGAACAUAACGGGCAGACCAUCCGGCCCCGGGGCCGAGGAGGGGUUCAUCCGCUUAAUAGCGGCGAGCACCUCGUCUUCAGCGAAGGGGGCCACCAAUGCCGCAUUGGCCUCAACAGAGACCAACUGGUUACCCGACCAAAUGUCGGGGGCAAGGCUAGCCCCACCCCGAUGGGUGGGGGUAAAUAGGGCUUUGUAGAAGCCAUCAACAUGGGCACGGAUGGCCGAGGGGCGAAUGAGAGGCGUGUCUCCAUCCCACAGACAGUGGAUGGAGUUCCGCCGCCGCCGCCCAUUAGCUAUCGCCUGGAAAUAGGCGGUGUUAGCGUCGCCCCGAAGCACCCACCGUUGGGUACCGUGCAACCUCCAGUAGGCCUCCUCAUCCGUGUAGAUGGUUGAGAGCUGGUCUUCAAGAUCAUAUCUUAGCAUCCAUUCAUUCGGGGAGAUCCCGGAGGUGUUAGCACGGGCGUCCAGGCCUUGGAUAGCCAGCAGGAGGGCCUUUUUGCGCUCGUGUAGGUCCCGGCCAAGGUUAGCGCCCCAUCCCUUCAUGAAUUGGCGGGCGAGCUUGGCACAGAACUGCCACGAGUCAACUGCGGACAUGGAGCGAUGAGGGGAGGCGCGAGCGGAGAUCUAGCGAGCGACGACAGCCUCCCGGAAGCCCGCCUGAUUAAGCCAGAAGAGCUCAAACCGGAACCGCGGCGGAGUGGGGGGGCGCUCGUCCGCGGUGGAGAGGAGGAGAGGGACGUGGUUAGACCCGAUCCGGUAAUUGCAUGAAGCGAUCCCGAGGCAGAUUCGGGAGCAGCCCUGUCACGUAGCGGGGGACACAUGAAAUAUGGGCCAUUUUGGCCAUUUUCUUCACCAUUUGACGCCAAAUUGUAUUCUAUUGCUUCACCACUUGAGCCUGCGUCAUCACAGAUCUCAUUUGCACGGUUAGAAGAGUUAGUCAAGUGGUCAGUACAAUUGUCAUUCCCUUGAUGAAAACCAGACAAAUGAGGUGGUAGUAGAAGGAUUUCUUGGCGAAGUAGGGCACCGGCAUUAGGAUGUAGAUGAGCAAAAGGGAAGACAGUUUCAUCGAAGACCACAUCACGAGAAAUAUAUACUCGACCUGUAGGAACAUCAAGGCACUUGACACCUUUGUGUUGCGCACUAUAACCCAAGAAAACACAUUAUUUUGAGCGAAACAUGAGUUUGCGAGUAUUGUAGGGACGAAGGUUUGGCCAACAAGCGCAUCCAAAGACACGAAGAGAGUUAUAGUUCGGUUGAGUAUGAAGGAGUCGUUGCAUGGGUGUUUCAUUGUUGAUGACACGAUUGGGUAGCAUAUUGAUGAGAUGAACUGCAGUAAGAAAUGCCUCAUCCCAAAAUUUGAGAGGCAUGGAGGCGGCUAGGAGAGCAAAUCCUACCUCAACUAUAUGCCUAUGUUUGCGCUCGGCAGAUCCGUUUUGUUGGUGAGCAUGCGGGCAUGAAACAUGAUGCAAAACACCCAACUUUUGGAAAAACGAGUUUAACUUCUCGUAUUCACCACCCCAAUCAGAUUGGACAGCAAGGAUUUUAGUGUCAAAUUGGCGUUCAACAAGUGCUUGAAAAUUA